CCCCAAGAUGGAAUUACACCCUUUCUUCCUAAUCCAGGCAGCUCUGGCCACUGCCAUUUUUUCAUGAUAUAAUCAAAGGACAGUAAAUAACAUCUUCCCAGAGAACACAAAUGGAGAAAUACUGUCAGCAUAUAUUACACGAAGUUACAAAGUGGACGUGAAUGCCACAACAAACAAGCAGGCAUCUUGCUUCUUCUCCAACUUCAAAGUGAGACGACAGAAUCUCCUAGUGAUGAAGGACAAUUUAUUCAUUCCCAGCAACAAACAUUUAAUUACCAAAUUAAUCCCAUGUCAUUGUACUGCAUGAUGGAAAAUCAGCAGCAGCUUCUAAAUGGAGAAAGACAAUGGAUUUGAAAACAUCUUGGGGGUUUUCCUCGCAGACUGAAUGUCCAGGAUCCCACUGGCGGAGCUCACAUACACAAACCUGCGGGCAAAGCCAGCCUCAGUCAAUCCCAGAAAAAGCACCAAACCUUCCUGACUUGUGUUCAAGGGUUCCAGUGAGGAUGUGGUUAAGAAUAUGGACUCUCGAGUCAGACUGCCUAUGCCUAGCUCCAAGCUUGGCCACGGGAUCUUGGGUGAGCUUUUAGCUAUAUAUGCCUCAGUUUCCUUGCAUCCUGUAAAAUGAGAAUUAGAGUGCCUUACUUCAGAGCCUUGUUGGGGGGAUUAAAUGAAAUAAGACACACGAA